rnacentral:lncRNA from 1 species
UCUACCCUCUUUUCCAUUCCGCUGUGAUGACAGUACUACGAUCUUGCCAUCUUUUGCCUGUACUAAAAUAAUUUCCUAAUUGGCCUCUUGGUUUUCAUCUUAUUCUAGAUCUUCUUCCUCACUGUCCUCUGAGUGAUUUUUGAAAAUAUAAAUCGGAUCAUGUUAUUCUUUCAGUGGUUCCAUGGGCCAUCAAGGCAUUGUCAUGGUGCAAAGGGGUUUAACUGAAGAGGAUGAUGGUUGCCUGGCAUAUACAUUCCCCACCCGCUGUGUUCAAAUAGGAAGAUCUAAAGAGCCUCUUGAGGAAAGUGAAAGAGGAGAGUGAAAAAGUUGGCUUAAAGAUCA